rnacentral:rRNA from 1 species
CGAACGGGUAAGUAACGCGUGGGGAAUCUGCCUUUGAGCGGGGGACAACAUUUGGAAACGAAUGCUAAUACCGCAUAAAAACUUUAAACACAAGUUUUAAGUUUGAAAGAUGCAAUUGCAUCACCCAAAGAUGAUCCCGCGUUGUAUUAGCUAGUUGGUGAGGUAAAAGCUCACCAAGGCGAUGAUACAUAGCCGACCUGAGAGGGUGAUCGGCCACAUUGGGACUGAGACACGGCCCAAACUCCUACGGAAGGCAGCAG